rnacentral:rRNA from 1 species
GACAGAGGUGCCGAGCGUUAGGCGGAAUCACUGGGCUUAAAGCGUGUGUAGGCGGGCGGGCAAGUACCUUGUGAAAUCCCACGGCUCAACCGUGGAACUACUGGGUAUACUGCCUGUCUUGAGCCAGCUAGGGGCGGCCGGAACAGACGGUGGAGCGGUGAAAUGCGUAGAUAUCGUCUGGAACGCCAAAGGUGAAAACAGGCCGCUGGGGCUGUGCUGACGCUGAGACACGAAAGCCAGGGGAGCGAACGGG